AAAAUUCAGUAACUCCUGUGUUUGUCAACAGAAAGUUGACGUAUUUGUAACAGCUUCGCGCACGCCUUUUAUCGGAAUGUGGCCGUUUGCGAAUCGAAGUUAUCCCCACUACACAAUUUAUAUAUAUAUGCUCCGCUUAUACCUCCCACUCAAUGCAUUGCCAACACAAAUAUUGAAGUUAGAAUUCUAAAACUUGCUUCUCUUUGUAAGUUUAUAUCAUGGACGUAUGAAAUAUCUGGACAGAACCUGAAGUUUCUUCAUGAUGCGGUGGGAGGGGAAAACGUGUGGCACCCAUAUCGGCUUGUCAGAUUUAGAGACAUACAUAUACAUAUGUCUAUUUCCCAGCCUCAUCUAUUUUCACAUUUGAACCAAACUAACCCCGUAGUUAAUGGAUAUGGUAUAGAUAUUUGAGGUUAUUGGGUGUCUAAAUAGUAUAUACAUGUAUUGUUUAAAGGAUAAUGCAAUAAUCUUAGAUGUCCAUAAUUACUACAAUGUCCUUUAGUUUGUGUACAGAACAUUUUUUUGAUUAAAUAAUAAUUCGUUCAACUGUA